rnacentral:tRNA from 3 species
GCGCCCUUAGCUCAGCUGGAUAGAGCACCGGACUUCUAAUCCGACGGUCGCAGGUUCGAAUCCUGCAGGGCGCGCCA